rnacentral:rRNA from 1 species
GGUCGUGGACUGUAUAGAAGAGAGAAUGCCGGCAUAAGUAGCGAGAAUGGAGUGAGAAACUCCAUCGUCGAAAGUCUAAGGUUUCCUGGGGAAGGUUCGUCCGCCCAGGGUUAGUCGGGUCCUAAGGAGAGGCCGAUAGGCGUAUCUGAUGGAAAACAGGUAGAAUAUUCCUGUACCCAAGAUAGUCGAUACACGAUGCAAUGACACAGAAGGAUAGUCCCACCCUGGUGAUGAUAGACUGGGGGCAAAUCAGGAGGCUGGUAAGUAGUGAAGCACGCUUAUCAUAAGGCUGGCUGAUGAUGCACAAAGAAAACUAGUAAAUAAAGGGAUGAAUUCACGCUGGCGAGAAAAGUUGCUAAGGAGACUAUUGCGUGCCCGUACCGCAAACCGACACAGGUAGACGGCAAGAAAAUUGCAAGACGAGCGGGAGAACCAUUGUUAAGGAACUCUGCAAAAUGACCCCGUAAUUUCGAGAGAAGGGGAGCCUUAUGUGGUGACGCAUGAGGCCGCAGUGAAGAGGCCCAAGCGACUGUUUAUCAAAAACACAGGUUUCUGCAAAAGCGCAAGCUGAAGUAUAGGAGCUGACGCCUGCCCAGUGCUGGAAGGUUAAGGGGAAGUGUUAGAGCAAUCGAAGCACUGAACUUAAGCCCCAGUGAACGGCGGCCGUAACUAUAACGGUCCUAAGGUGGCCUUCAAAAUGCCUUAGAAAAACUUAACUAAAUGCUGGAAAAUCCGGUGUAUAUUGUGUUACUUCCAUUGAAAAAUUUUUGUAAAAAAACUGAAAAAAAUCAGCAAAUAUUCAGAAAUAAUUUUCAAGAAAUUCAUAGUAGUAUAGAUGCUAUGAGUGACGAAGUAAAAACACACAAUUGCGGACAAUCAGCAGGAAAGACUGCGAUUAACGAAUAUGAAAAAUGAUUUCUAGCUGGUGUGAUUGAAGGUGAAGGAUCGUUUUGUGCAUCUGUGAAACGACAAUUAAAUUGUCAUCAUAAGAUCCAAAUUGACCCUGAAUUCUUCAUCUACCAACAUAAAGUUCGUCGAGGUUUGUUAGAACUUGCACAAAAAGUUUUCGCGAUUGGUCGUAUAAGACCAAAAGGCGGUAAUCCUAAUGUGUUAGUUUACAAAGUGACACGGACUGAAGAAAUUGUUAAAAUCAUUAUUCCUUUUCUUGAAAAAUAUAUGAUUUAUUCUUACAGAAAAAACGAUAUUGAAAAGUUCAAACAAGUUGCACAAAUUUGUUACGACAAUAAACAUUUGUCUAAAGAACAAUUAAUUCAGUUAAUAAACAUCGCAUAUUCCAUGAAUAUGAAUGGUUAAGAAUCGAAAAUUAAAUAAGCAAGAGUUAAUCAACAGAAUCCUCAGAGACUACACGUUAAGCACAUAAUAAAAUAUGUGAAGAUAUAGUCCGAACCUCAUGGCGACAUGAGGAUGUUGGCAGAAAUGUCAACACAAUACUAUGCAAAUAGUAUGAGUAACAAUCUUGAGCGAAAUUCCUUGUCGGGCAAAUUCCGUCCCGCUUGAAUGGCGUAAUCAUCUCUUGACUGUCUCGACAAUAGACUCGGUGAAAUCCUGGUGUGGGUGAAGACGCCCACUUGGUGUGAUUGGACGGAAAGACCCCAUGAAGCUUUACUGUAACUUAAUAUUGAGAAAAUAUCUUGUAUUUAGAGCAUAGGCGGGAGACUUUGAAACAGCGACGCUAGUUGCUGCGGAGUCAACACUGUAAUACCGCCAUUACAAUAUGUUUUUUCUAACUUCCACCAGUUACCCUGGUGCAGGACAGUGUUAGGCGGGCAGUUUGACUGGGGCGGUCGCCUCCCAAAAAGUAACGGAGGCGCGCAACGGUACCCUCAGCACGGUUGGAAAUCGUGCCCUGAGCGUAAUGGUAUAAGGGUGCUUGACUGCGAGACUUACUAGUCGAGCAGGUAAGAAAUUAGGUCAUAGUGAUCCGGUGGUUCCGAAUGGAAGGGCCAUCGCUCAACGGAUAAAAGCUACUCUGGGGAUAACAGGCUGAUACUAUCCAAGAGUUCAUAUCGACGAUAGUGUUUGGCACCUCGAUGUCGACUCAUCUCAUCCUGGGGCUGUAGUAGGUCCCAAGGGUUCGGCUGUUCGCCGAUUAAAGAGAUACGUGAGUUGGGUUCAAACCGUCGUGAGACAGGUUGGUCCCUAUCUGUCAUACCCGUAGGAAGAUUGAGAAGAGCUGCUCCUAGUACGAGAGGAUCGGAGUGGAGAUACCUCUAAUGUUUCAGUUGUCAUGCCAAUGGCACAGCUGGGUAGUUACGUAUCGCACGGAUAAACGCUGAAAGCAUAUAAGCGUGAAACCGCCUUCAAGAUAAAUCUUCCCUCCCCGCAAGGGGUUAAGAAUCGUUGUAGACUACAACGUUGAUAGGUUAGAGUUGUAAGUGCUGCGAAGCAUUAAGAUGACUAAUACUAAUAAUUCGAGCGACUUAAUAUA